rnacentral:lncRNA from 1 species
CUUCAUCACACCUCUUCUAGAUCGAGUUGUGUAGGCUAAUCUGUGGGAUGCAAUGUGGGACCAACCAACAUAUGACAUGUCGCAGUCCCCGACAAGCCCAAAGAUGAUUUUUGAAUCCCCUUUUUUGGCUCAUUAUGGUGUGACACCUCGAGCUGACCAUCUCUCAUAAAUGCAGCAAGAUUCACAAAACAGUACAUUCAUGACAUCUCGAGAUUUUCUCCACCAAAUGCUACCAAAUAAAUAUCUAAGAGAAAAGAUUGGGUCAGCAAUUGAAGACCAGUCCAA